AUUGAACGCUGGCGGCAGGCUUAACACAUGCAAGUCGAGCGGGGGAGGUUGCUUCGGUAACUGACCUAGCGGCGGACGGGUGAGUAAUGCUUAGGAAUCUGCCUAUUAGUGGGGGACAACAUUCCGAAAGGAAUGCUAAUACCGCAUACGCCCUACGGGGGAAAGCAGGGGAUCUUCGGACCUUGCGCUAAUAGAUGAGCCUAAGUCGGAUUAGCUAGUUGGUGGGGUAAAGGCCUACCAAGGCGACGAUCUGUAGCGGGUCUGAGAGGAUGAUCCGCCACACUGGGACUGAGACACGGCCCAGACUCCUACGGGAGGCAGCAGUGGGGAAUAUUGGACAAUGGGCGGAAGCCUGAUCCAGCCAUGCCGCGUGUGUGAAGAAGGCCUUUUGGUUGUAAAGCACUUUAAGCGAGGAGGAGGCUCUUAAGGUUAAUACCCUUGAUGAGUGGACGUUACUCGCAGAAUAAGCACCGGCUAACUCUGUGCCAGCCGCCGCAGUAAGAC
rnacentral:rRNA from 1 species